rnacentral:lncRNA from 1 species
CGCGGCGGGCGGGGGGCGGGGGGCGGCAGACACAGGGUCAGCUCCCGGGAGGCUUUGAUGAAUGCGCUGAAAGCGCAAGUUCACAUCUGCAGAGUCGAAAACGUGCUCAAUGAUCGACAGACGCGCUGCAGUCCUUUCCCAUGAACCCCCGCAAACGGAGUCCAUCUCCAGGGUUGGGCGAAAUCAGAUUCCAACACUGCCCUGAACAGCAAAAUGCCCGCCGCAGCCUUUGACGUGAACGCCCUCGAGGAGGGCUCCAGCUGCAGCCAGCUUUCCAGGACAAAGAGAGAGCUCCGCUGCUCGCCAGAGUGGCAGAGCGGCGGCGUCGAGCCAGCCCCUGCCCUCCCUCGGCAAGGUGGGCCACGUCCUCCUUUCGGGGGCGGCUGCUACCCCCCCCAUUAUUUGGCAAAGGCUGCCCUGAGCCCCAUCGUCCUUAGAGGGCGGCUACCGCCACCUCCCCUCGGUGUGCCCCAGCUCCCAUCUGCACCACCAGCACCUCCAGAGCCCCCCGCCUCCCGCACCGGUGGCCCCCGCCCCUGGGAGUGAGCCGUACCAGGGGGGCGGGGGUCUCCCUGACUUAGAGCCGACAUCUUUCCCCCUGACUUCCAGCAUCGGUUGCUCUGCAUCCUGGGACUGGAAAAACAAAACCUUUAAGGGGGUAGUGAGUGUUCCGAUUCUCAGGCAGUUACUUAUUCUGUGACACUAACUACCUGCAGAAUUAAGGGAAAUAGCUAGGAGUUGCUGAACGCACUAUGUACGCGGUUCAGUCCAGGCAUUUUAUCCUUCUUUUGUCUUUCUGACAACUUCCUGUACCACCUCAAUGAUCAAUGAGGGGAAAAGAGCAAACCGGAGAUUUCUGGAGUUAACCAGCUACAGUUCUACAGUGUCAAGGACACAAGAGGACCCCUAGGAACCCCAGUGAGUGAAUGGCUAAGAACAUGCGCUUUGGAGCCACCCAGGGAGGAGAUACUGGCUGGACCCCAGAAGGUUGUGCUGAGGAUUUAUUGCUACGGGGGAAAGUGGGGGACCUGAGACACAUGGCACAGAGAGGCAUUCUUGCCAGUCUUGUAACACCUAAAGAAAUCCUGGCUACUGCGACGUUGAACGGUUGCUGUGUACUCCAGGCUGCAGGGAGUGAGCACAGGAGAAGACACAGGAAUAAGAACCAACAGAAAAGGAUGAUGUUUACCAUGCGCCAAAAGACACCCACUCAAAAAAAUAAAAAGCCAUUAAUCAAAAUACUGCAAGUGUCUGAGGUCAGUUAUUCUAUCAGAUAACUCUCCCUAUUAAAAUGACUCAUCUGGGAUCUGGUUUGGUUAGAUGAGGGUGAGUCUGAAAGGGGUGAUGUCACCGAGG